UGGAUAUCAGUGUGGGCCGUUUCGUUCG
rnacentral:piRNA from 1 species